ACAGCCCUGGAAUAAACAAAAUUAUAUAUAUAUAUUUAUUAAUUCAAGUAAAAUAAUAUGGUAAUAUAUGCAGGUAUUACAAGUGCGCCCUUUUAAAUUUUAAAUACAACAAUUAAGUAAUCGCAUGAGUGAUCUCAAAGCUUGCGCACGCGUUGGUAGUGGUCGCGUGCCCAUUGCACCUGCCUGUCCACCAUCGUCUUAGUUCCUGCAGCGCCACUCUUUUUCUCAACUUUUAUUUUUUUUACCAUUGCCAAGAAAGAGAAUAUAUAAGAGACAAGACAUUGGGUGUAAGACAGGAUGUGGGCAGCUGUUUGCCAGCUGGACUAUAUGAUACAUCUACAACCUAUAGCACAAACUGCAAUAUAUUCCUUUUUAUUUUUUUUUACAUACAUUAUUAUUAUUAUUAUUAUCAUACGCAGCAACUCCUUAACAAAUCAAUCGUCGUUCCGGUGAACCGACAGAUAAAAUAAUAAUAAUAAAGUGUAUAUAGAUAUAGGAGAGAUCAAGACACCUGGUAUGCUCUCCCGAAUUUCCUGUGGCUUUCGGUUCUCUUGAAACAUGCGCUUUUACAUCCGCUAAAAAAUUCAUUCAUUUAAAUGUCUUGUACUUCAACAAAAAAAAAUAAUACUCAUUCAAUGAAAGAUGUACGUAAAGAAAAGCAUUACAUUUAUUGUCUUGGAGUUUAAAUAGACUGAAAAAUACUUUAAACAAGAUAAGAGUGUUUCAAAAAGUAAAAUGUGUUUAUUGAAGAGGAUAAAAAAUAAAACUAUCAAGAUUAUUCGUCAAUUUGAGAUAUCUUUCAUGGACGCAGCAUUAAAGUAUAUAAUAGAAUAUAAAAUAUAUACAGCAAGUAAAUACACGGCUAUGCGUCACGUGCACACAUGAAACUUUCAAAGAGCAAUAGGGUCGUUCAAUUGUUCGGUCUAAUGCUGUAGGUUUCUAUUGCUGAUGGAUUCGUCGUCUGAGGCUCUGAAUUGCGUGGGGUAAAUUUUUCAUUGGUUAAAACUUUCAAUACCCAAUAGCCCCGUAUGUUAUUUUACUCUGCCUCGACUAGACUCUGAACUCUACUCCGUCUCAAGUGAAAUUUAUAUUUAAAUAAUUUUUUUUUACG